UAACUUUCAGCAACGGAUCUCUUGGCUCUCGCAUCGAUGAAGAACGCAGCGAAAUGCGAUAAGUAAUGUGAAUUGCAGAAUUCAGUGAAUCAUCGAAUCUUUGAACGCACCUUGCGCUCCUUGGUAUUCCGAGGAGCAUGCCUGUUUGAGUGUCAUGU
rnacentral:rRNA from 1 species